rnacentral:rRNA from 1 species
UCAUAACCGUGCGAAGGUAGCAUAAUAAAUUGUUCUCUAAAUAGGGACUAGUAUGAAAGGCACCACGAGGGCUUAACUGUCUCCCUUUUCCAAUUAAUGAAACUGAUCUUCUCGUGAAGAAGCGAGAAUAAAAAUAUAAGACGAGAAGACCCCAUGGAGCUUUAAACUNAUCAUCAUUUACUCUUUAUUACAUCACUAUAUGCAGUAAAAUUGUUACCUGAGAGUUUUCGGCUGGGGUGACCCUGGAGCAAAACAAAUCCUCCAGGAUGAACGGAAUAANAAUCCUAAUCAAAGAGCUACAGCUCUAAGAAUCAAAAUAUUGACAUAAUUUGAUCCAAUUACUUGAUCAACGAACCAAGUUACCCUGGGGAUAACAGCGCAAUCCAUUUCAAGAGCCCCUAUCGACAAAUGGGUUUACGACCUCGAUGUUGGAUCGGGGUAUCCCGGUGGCGCAGCCGCUACUAAAGGUUCGUUUGUUCAACGAUUAAUAACCCCACGUGAUCUG